AAUUUGUUUUCUGAAAUGUAAAUUUGUUUCGGGACUUGUAAAUGUGUUAUGGUAAUGUAAUUUUGUUUUAUGAUAUGUAAAAAUGUUUUCCAAAAUGUAAAUUUGUCUCAAGCUUUGUAAAAGUGUUUCAGAUUUUGUAAUGUUGGUUUGCACCUCUCGGCCACCGUACAACUCUCUUGUGAAACACCUGCAAGAACAAGGAGGUUGCUGCUGGCAGUGCCAGGCCAAUGUGUGUGUGUGUUUAUCUGGAGGAGUGUCUGUGUGCUGAACACAGCCACCUUGUGUGGUACUUGCACUUGUUGGUCCCACUUGCCAGCACUGAUAGCCACCUGCCUCAAGAUGACUCAGUCCUGGAGGUUACUUUGUGCGGCAGCUCUAACCUUGGUUGCCAUGUCGGUGGCGGUCCCUGAAGGAGAGAUUGUGGACCCACAGGACCCUGAGGUCCAGGCUUGUGCCUCGUUUGCCCUCGAAUCGCUCAGCUUCCGUGACAAGGCCCAUCAAUACAGCAUCAGAAGGGUGAUCUCUGUCAGCAAGGCGCCCAUUGGUGGGGGCCAGUAUGACAUGGAUGUUGAGGUGAAGAAGAUUCCGUGUGGCCCAGAAGGAGUUGACGCCUGCACUCCUGGCUCAGCAAAUGGACAGACUUUGCAUUGUAAGUUUGUGGUUCUGACUGCUCCGUGGAAGCAUCAGCGUGUUCUCUUAAGCAGCUCUUGCAGUGAUGAGUCUCAGAGUUAAACUGCAGAGAUUCCCCAGAGAGCCCAGCCCAGCCCCGACUUCACCUCUGCAUGACAUGUUAAUGUGUUAUAAAAGAUAAUAAAGUUUAAAAGAACAAUAUUACUUACAAUAUUACUACAAUAUUACUACAUGAUUUGAUUAAGCAAAGGUUGACCACUGGUCUGUGAACAUGUAAACAUCAAAUAAACUGUGUUGACAGUUAAA
ensembl:lncRNA